CGCCUCCGCCUCCGCCUCUCUUGGUUCUUUUCUUCCAGAGCAAACUUCGUGUCUGCCUCUCCACCACUUACACAUCUUUGUUCAAGUUUUACGGUAAUCUUUUCAUUGAUUUACCCUUUUGAUGUUACUAAUCUCUUCUCGGAUUUAAUUUGUGAAACAAAUGGUAAUACGAAUGGUGCGAUUUUAUUCAAGAGAUCAACCUGGAACAUUUGUUCUGCAUAGGAGAGAUAAAUGCUAAGUCAUAUUAAAACCAUUAAUCUGUGUUGCAGAAGAAUUACUUUCAGGAAAGAUUUUGUAAUCCGAAGCUUAUUUUUUCACAUACCAGUCUUUUUUUUUUUAACGUGGAUCUAAUUCGAAGUUGUUGCUGAUUAUCUAACAUCAUUGUGCAUCUUAAUCUUUGCUCAGUUAAAAACCCUGUCUCAUAAAGAAUUUAGUGCUUUUGUCGGUGACAUUUGGUUAAUCAAUGGUAUGAUUUGGAUAUAUAGCUGGAUCUGUGCCAGGUGAUGGAUCCAGAGCUGUUGUGGGUUGAAUUUGGUGCCAUGAAAAUACGUCUUACGCAAUAGGAAGCUCAGCAACAAAGGAAAUGAAGCGUCGUACGAUUGCAGUUCUCUUGAAUGUUAUGUCAUCAUCUGGUAGUGUGAACAAUUAAUAGUGCCAAUCAGUUAGUUGGUCCUGGACAUGAGUUUAGAGAGAGACCGCAUGCUGGAGCUACCCUAGAUGCUGCAUAAUCGUCUACGUAUCUCUUACUUUAGCAUUACAUUUAAAAGGGGACUGGACGUGCUGAAGGUGAUGAUAGGUUCUUAUAUGUAACAUUGGUUUAAGAUGCAAAGUGUAAUUUCAAAGACAGACAAGGAUGAUUGUCUAAAAUCGGGAUGGGUAUUCAAGGAAAGUACGCUUCAAAUUAAACUUUGAUUUGUAUGGAUGAUUAUGAGUUGCUUAUAUUUGUUUUCUUUGAAGUAUUAUAGGAUUAUGGAAGCUCGGUAAAAGGUUUUUAUAGACUCGCAGGGGUUAAAUGGAGAACAUAGUCUUCGGAUGGCAAACCUGCUGGAAUGUUCUACAACUUUCCUAACCACCUCCAUAUCCUAUUUUUUUCUACCUAAGAAAUAUCAAAUUCUCCACUUCACAGUACAUCUAUUUUCUCUUUUACUGCUACUGAUGCACAUAAAAUUUGAUUUGUUGCUUAUCUGUUUUUUUUUCAUGAAAUGUAGGAGGCAGAGUUUUGCAUCUUAGCAUCUUAGGAGCACUGCAUUAGAUUAUAUUCGGUUUAACAUUGUUUGUAUGAAAGAUUCCAUAUGCCCGUCAAACUUCAGGUCUAAGAACUCCUACACUAGGAAAGUCGUUGAAGUUGUUGCAUCUACUGAUGCUCUAGGUGAAAUCUGAACUAGUUUUGAGCCUUUUUUGGAAAAAUACUGAGUUUCAGGCCUUAUUCAUGUACAGAUGAUCAUUCUUUGGGGACAAAAUUUUGUAUCUCCGGGCUACAUUGUUUCGAUCAUUUGCUUAUCUCCAGUCAUUGAUGCUCUGAUUCGAGAAACUAUAAGAUUCGUCAUGAGCAGAUUAUAUUAUGUAGGCAUGUCUUUAAUUUUUUUAACCUAGGUGGGUGCCUCGGCAUUGCUCAAUUGAACCAGAAAUAAGAUAUUUGCAUGUUGGUUAUCUUUCUUCACGUGGUAUUGAAAUUAUAAUUGGUGCUUUUAUAUCUUAUGGCAUUGAAGUCACUCGGAAUCAUGAAGUUGUAAUGCAAGCACGGAAGAUCAUCCAAAAACACCAACUACAGAAGCAAAAAAGAUAAAUAAAAAGUGGUACCAAGCUGUGGUAAGAAUGCUGGUGUUGCCAAAUAUGGAGGCAGCAUUCUAACUGGCGGUAAUAUGGUCAGUAAAUAUUAAUGAUGUAUUUGUUGUCACAUUAGAGAUUAAAAGGUUAAUAAAUAUUGCUUAGGCUUACUAUUUUUUCAUAUUAGCGGAGGUCUAACAUCCAAAAUAAAUGCUAAAAUUGCAGAGAUACUACAUAGGUUUCAAGUAUACAUACCAAAAAACUAGUCUUUUCUUUCUUGGUUUGAGGUUAUCUCAUCUCAGUUUGCUUCUUAUUUAUGAUCCACACUAUUGUUGUUUUUUUCUCUUUUUGGAUCAGCAAUACUGUAGCAUCCUUAUUUAUUUUUAUUUUAAUGAAUUAUAAAAUUAGCAGUGGGCAGAGUUGUUGAAGUGUUCUACAAUGCUACGUCUAUUACAGGUGGUCCAAAACCAAACUUAGCACAUCUUUCUAUGGUGGAGCACAUUCGCAAAGGUAAUUUAGUAUUCAAUAAUGGAAGGAUAGCUUCAAGGCAUGGACUACUAUCCGCGGUUGAAGGCGUAAAGCCAUAAACUACUGUCGCCAAAUUUGGUUCAAGUUGAGUGCAUAGAUACCGUUUGGAUUUAAUGAUGUGCUCAAGUGUUUUUAGGAUAAGAACGAAAUAAAAGAAGUGAUAUUUUUAUCCA